rnacentral:rRNA from 1 species
AUUGAACGCCGGCGGCAUGCCUUACACAUGCAAGUCGAACGGCAGCACGGGAGCUUGCUCCUGGUGGCGAGUGGCGAACGGGUGAGUAAUACAUCGGAACGUACCCUGAAGUGGGGGAUAACGUAGCGAAAGUUACGCUAAUACCGCAUAUUCUGUGAGCAGGAAAGAGGGGGAUCGCAAGACCUCUUGCUUUAGGAGCGGCCGAUGUCGGAUUAGCUAGUUGGUGAGGUAAAGGCUCACCAAGGCGACGAUCCGUAGCGGGUCUGAGAGGAUGAUCCGCCACACUGGGACUGAGACACGGCCCAGACUCCUACGGGAGGCAGCAGUGGGGAAUUUUGGACAAUGGGCGCAAGCCUGAUCCAGCCAUGCCGCGUGAGUGAAGAAGGCC